UACGUAGGGUGCAAGCGUUAAUCGGAAUUACUGGGCGUAAAGCGUGCGCAGGCGGUUUUGUAAGUCUGUCGUGAAAUCCCCGGGCUCAACCUGGGAAUGGCGAUGGAGACUGCAAGGCUAGAAUCUGGCAGAGGGGGGUAGAAUUCCACGUGUAGCAGUGAAAUGCGUAGAGAUGUGGAGGAACACCGAUGGCGAAGGCAGCCCCCCUGGGUCAAGAUUGACGCUCAUGCACGAAAGCGUGGGGAGCAAACAGG
rnacentral:rRNA from 1 species